CUAAGGGAAAAGGUUGAAAAUUCACAGAUUAUUUAGUUUUGAGUGUUUAAGUAUUAAUUUUGCUUUUGCAAAAUUAUAUACCACCUUUUAAUAGGUAAAUACACUCAUAAUUGUACAUUGAAAAUUGAAUAACAAACACAACGCGAUAUUAGAAAAUAUCGUGAGCCAGACAGUAUAUGUUUAAAUAUAUACGAAAAUUAAGAGGUAAAGUAAACAAAAAGAUUUAAACAAUAUCUUAAAUGACAAAU
rnacentral:misc_RNA from 1 species